GAGCGAAGUGGCAGCUGUAGCAAUACAGUAUGUGCUUAGCGGCAGACGGGUGAGUAACACGUAGACAAUCUACCUUCUAGAGGGGGAUAGCCCGCCGAAAGGCGGGGUAAUACCGCGUAAGAUCAAAGCCUGGCAUCGGGCCUUGAUGAAACGUCCGCAAGGACGGCUAGAAGAGGAGUCUGCGGCCUAUCAGCUAGUUGGUGAGGUAACGGCUCACCAAGGCAACGACGGGUAUCCGGCCUGAAAGGGUGAUCGGACACACUGACACUGAGACACGGGUCAGACUCCUACGGGAGGCAGCAGUGAGGAAUUUUGGACAAUGGGGGAAACCCUGAUCCAGCGACGCCGCGUGAAGGAUGAAGGUCUUCGGAUUGUAAACUUCUUUUGCUUGGGACUAACCGCUCCGUAGAAAUACGGGGAAUGAAUGUACCAGGCGAAUAAGCCACGGCUAACUUCGUG
rnacentral:rRNA from 1 species